rnacentral:rRNA from 1 species
ACACAUGCAAGUCGAACGAUGAAGCCCAGCUUGCUGGGUGGAUUAGUGGCGAACGGGUGAGUAACACGUGGGUGAUCUGCCCUGCACUUCGGGAUAAGCCUGGGAAACUGGGUCUAAUACCGGAUAGGACCUCGGGAUGCAUGUUCCGGGGUGGAAAGGUUUUCCGGUGCAGGAUGGGCCCGCGGCCUAUCAGCUUGUUGGUGGGGUAACGGCCCACCAAGGCGACGACGGGUAGCCGGCCUGAGAGGGCGACCGGCCACACUGGGACUGAGACACGGCCCAGACUCCUACGGGAGGCAGCAGUGGGGAAUAUUGCACAAUGGGCGCAAGCCUGAUGCAGCGACGCCGCGUGAGGGAUGACGGCCUUCGGGUUGUAAACCUCUUUCAGUACCGACGAAGCGCAAGUGACGGUAGGUACAGAAGAAGCACCGGCCAACUACGUGCCAGCAGCCGCGGUAAUACGUAGGGUGCGAGCGUUGUCCGGAAUUACUGGGCGUAAAGAGCUCGUAGGCGGUUUGUCGCGUCGUCUGUGAAAACCCGCAGCUCAACUGCGGGCUUGCAGGCGAUACGGGCAGACUUGAGUACUGCAGGGGAGACUGGAAUUCCUGGUGUAGCGGUGAAAUGCGCAGAUAUCAGGAGGAACACCGGUGGCGAAGGCGGGUCUCUGGGCAGUAACUGACGCUGAGGAGCGAAAGCGUGGGUAGCGAACAGGAUUAGAUACCCUGGUAGUCCACGCCGUAAACGGUGGGCGCUAGGUGUGGGUUUCCUUCC